GGAGAGGUGGCAGAGUGGUCGAAUGCGCUACCUUGGAAAGGUAGUGUGCGAGUAAUCGUACCGCGGGUUCGAAUCCCGCCCUCUCCG
rnacentral:tRNA from 1 species